UCUUCAAGCUAUUGGAAAGUAAAUACACAACAUCAUACAGUGAAAUUACAUUCAUCCUAUAUGUCUACUGUCUCUAAAUGAACCUGAGGCACAUCACUGUAUACUUUCAGCAGAGCAUUCCACAGAGUCGCCUUUUUGUAGCAUGCAAAAUAACACAUUUUCAUGUUCUCUUUUAGUAAUGCGAUCAAAGACAUUUCAUUUACAGCACUCUGUUUGAUAAAUAAAACCAGUUAAUCAUUGCAAAUGUGACAGUGCACAAGCACAGCUCUUUAUGAAUGUUCAUGACAAUUUUUUAUGGAAAAAUACCUGGUUUUGCCCAAUGAACAAAGUCAACGACAUAUUCGCAGGGCAUUCAUUUGGAGUUAGAUUCUAACCUAAUUAUUGUCAGUUCUGUUUUGCUUCAAUGUUUGCUGUGUAGUGAGAAGUCAAGCAAAGUGACACAUUUUAUUGGAUAACUAAAAAGAUUACAAUAUACAAGCUUUUGAUGCAACUCAGGCCCCUUCUUCAGUUUGCUGUGUGAAAUGCAACCGAACUAAUCAGAGCCUGAAACAAAGUAAUUAUCUCUUAAUGUGGCACAAAGCAAAUGGACUAUGAUUGUGAAAUCACCUGAAAAAGAUCGGCAAAUGUUUUGAAGUCAAUCAUUCCAGUGUAAGGAAAAUCAUCAACAAGUGGCAUAGAUUUCAAAUGACUGCUCAGCCCCGCAAAUUCAGCCCAAGAGCUAAAGCUGGCACAAAUCAAAGACAGCAGUUCUGCAGAAGAACCUCAUACCAGCUGUGAAGCAUGGUGGUGGAAAUGUUAUAGUUUGGGGUUGCUUUGCUCCCUCUGGGCCUGGACAGCUUGCAGUCAUCGAGUCAACUCUGAAUUUUGCAUCAUAUCAAACUGUGCUUGAGGAGAAUGUUAGACCAUCUGCCUAAGUCAAAGUGGAAUUGAACUGGAAAUGAACAUUCCAGCAUGAUCCAAAGCACACUAGCAAAUCCAACAAGGAAUGACCCGGAAAGAGGAACUGGACAGUAUAACACCUUCAUUUGUAGGCACUAUUUUCAUGAACAUCUACUGUUUACCUGUUCAAAUAUGGUGAAAAAUGUCAACAGUUUUUGGGGUGUACUGUAAUUACUCAGGCCGGUGAAAAAUAGCACCACGCACAAACACUAUCGAGCAGUAACAGUCGGAAAACAAACCACAAGAACUGACAGACAGCUACAGAUACCCAUCAAAUGAAAGAAUUCCUUGCAGAGUGAGACUUGCCAAAAUCAAGUGAAAAGGCAGCUGAUAAAUAACAGGAAUGAAAAGUUUCAAAGUGAGGGAGAAUAACAGUGUGACAGGAAAAUGGGGAGCAUCCUGCAGGACAGCCCAGGAAAAACAAGGGGCGGUGGUUCUGCCCUCACUGGGAUCAAUAAGACUACAACCACAGACGAAUGGCUGGCAGCAGAUUUUGAAAAGAUGAGGGUACCUACAUAUUUUAUGAAGGUUAUUGGUGGCUCGAGUGUAUCCUGACAUCUAUGGACAAUGAAGCAAAAGCCUGCCCUGGAUAGACAUCAUAGCACAUACUCCCCCACUCACACAUUCCUGUGUGUAAUGGAGGUUCACCAGUCAGCUUGUCUUUAGACAAUGGAAGAAAAACAGGGAAAACUCACAGAAGCAUUGCCAGAUUGUACAGAUGUGCUGCCAAAGAAGAUGUCUUCUGCAAUUGCAGGAGGGGACAUGGAAGCUGAGGAAGUGUUGGAGUACUCUCGAGA